AUGCGCCAGCAGCGCCUCCUUGGUGUGCUCGUCCUGCGCGCGCAGGGCCAGGGCGCUGAGCAGCUCCGAGUUGUUGGACGUGCUGCGGUAGUAGAGCAUGUGCGCCAGCUCCAGCGCCUGCACGUUGCGCCGCUGUCCGAACAUCUGCAGAGUAUCUGCUAGGUGCCAGGGAGUGCUAUUUAGCUCUGGAGAGACAACACUGAAUUUGUGGAGCUGCCUUUGUUGAGCUUAUGGUCCAGCAUGAGAGACAGAUAAUUAAACACAGAGUCUGCGCGUGCCUCUCACUGUUGCGGCCUCUCCCAUUGCAGAGCACAGGCUCCGGACGC